CGGGGUGCGUGGACUUUACGGACUAGUGCCUGGGGAGACGCUAAUUGGUUCACAGGGUUCACGGCACCCAAUGGGAGUGAGACUUGUCCGCGGGUCAUCAGUGUCUGGGCAGAAGGACCUGACACAGAAGUCAGACCCUGGAGUCUUCUAGAAGAAAAGCCACUUCCGGGAAUAUGAUCACAACGCAAGCCUUGUGGAUGCGUGAGAGAUGCUUCUCCUUUAAGAGGAGGCUCUGGCCUGCAAACCCCACCUCGACCUCACAGAGACCAGGCUCUCUUAACUUGAUCAGUAGUGUGGGGAAAGAUUAAAUUUACACCUUUCUUGAUUCUGUGGAUCUCUCCAAAUCGCAGCCACAGAACUGAAGUGGAAAGAAGAGGAGAGAUGGGUGGGGGCUCCUGAAGAGAGUCACCCAUAACUCAGAGUAACAACUGUGGUGACCACUGGUGUGAACUCCAGUCCCCUCCCCAUGCAGGUCUCCACAGCAGCCCAGCAGCCUCUUCAGGAUUCAGCGGCUCCUGUUUCAGUGAACCACUCUUAUUAGGUGCUGUGAGUGUUUUCCGUGGGAACUUGAAGCUCUUAGGUUCCAUCCUGACUGACCUAAGGAUGCAGUUGGGGUAGGCAGCCCCACAGAAAGGAUCUGUCUCUCUUACUUUUCUUCUUAUUUAUUCUGGUUUUUGAGACAAGAUCUGUCUGCACUGCUCUGGCUGACCUGUAAAUCACUAUGUAGACCAAGCUGGCCUUGACCUCCCAGAGAUACAUGGCCUUUGCAUCCUGAGGGCUGGGUGUCACAGUUUCCCUUUCAUUGUUGUGUAGAAACACCAUGACCAAGGCAACACUUCUAAAAAGAAACAUUCAAUAGUGGCUGGG
rnacentral:sRNA from 1 species